GGACGAACGCUGGCGGCGUGCUUAACACAUGCAAGUCGAGCGGUAAGGACCCUUUCGGGGGUACGACGAGCGGCGAACGGUGAGUAACACGUGGGUGACCUGCCCUCAGCUCUGGGAUAAGCCGUGGGAAACCGGGUCCGUAAUAACCGGAUAUUGACUCCAUGACGCAUGUUGUGGGGGUGGAAAGCCUUGUGCGGCUGAGGAUGGGCCCGCGGCCUAUCAGCUUGUUGGUGGGGUGAUGGCCUACCAAGGCGACGACGGUAGCCGGCCUGAGAGGGCGACCGGCCACACUGGGACU
rnacentral:rRNA from 1 species